UACGUAGGUCCCGAGCGUUGUCCGGAUUUAUUGGGUGUAAAGGGAGCGUAGGCGGACUUUUAAGUGAGAUGUGAAAUACUCGGGCUCAACUUGAGUGCUGCAUUUCAAACUGGAAGUCUAGAGUGCAGGAGAGGAGAAUGGAAUUCCUAGUGUAGCGGUGAAAUGCGUAGAGAUUAGGAAGAACACCAGUGGCGAAGGCGAUUCUCUGGACUGUAACUGGCGCUGAGGCUCGAAAGCGUGGGGAGCAAACAGG
rnacentral:rRNA from 1 species